CAGCAGGCGCGAAACCUUUACACUGCACGACAGUGCGAUAAGGGGAUCCCCAGUGCGAGGGCAUACAGUCCUCGCUUUUCUGCACCGUAAGGUGGUGCAGGAAUAAGGGCUGGGCAAGACCGGUGCCAGCCGCCGCGGUAAUACCGGCAGCUCGAGUGAUGGCCGAUAUUAUUGGGCCUAAAGCGUCCGUAGCCGGCCGAACAGGUCCGUCGGGAAAUCCGCUCGCUCAACGAGCGGGCGUCCGGCGGAAACCAUUCGGCUUGGGGCCGGAAGACCCGAGGGGUACGUCCGGGGUAGGAGUGAAAUCCCGUAAUCCUGGACGGACCGCCGGUGGCGAAAGCGCCUCGGGAAGACGGACCCGACGGUGAGGGACGAAAGCUAGGGUCUCGAACCGGAUUAGAUACCCGGGUAGUCCUAGCUGUAAACGAUGCCCGCUAGGUGUGGCGCAGGCUACGAAGCCUUGCUGCUGUGCCGAUAGGAGCCCG
rnacentral:rRNA from 1 species